UGGGGAAUAUUGGACAAUGGGCGCAAGCCUGAUCCGGCCAUGCCGCGUGAGUGAUGAAGGCCUUAGGGUUGUAAAGCUCUUUCGCCGGUGAAGAUAAUGACGGUAACCGGAGAAGAAGCCCCGGCUAACUUCGUGCCAGCAGCCGCGGUAAUACGAAGGGGGCCCAGCGUUGCUCGGAAUCACUGGGCGUAAAGCGCACGUAGGCGGAUCGUUAAGUCAGGGGUGAAAUCCUGGAGCUCAACUCCAGAACUGCCCUUGAUACUGGCGAUCUCGAGUUCGAGAGAGGUUGGUGGAACUCCGAGUGUAGAGGUGAAAUUCGUAGAUAUUCGGAAGAACACCAGUGGCGAAGGCGGCCAACUGGCUCGAUACUGACGCUGAGGUGCGAAAGCGUGGGGGAGCAAACAGGAUUAGAUACCCUGGUAGUCCACGCCGUAAACGAUGGAUGCUAGCCGUUGGGGGGUUUACCUCUCAGUGGCGCAGCUAACGCCUUAAGCAUCCCCGCCUGGGGGAGUACGGUCGCAAGAUUAAAACUC
rnacentral:rRNA from 1 species